UUAAGUUCAGCGGGUAUCCCUACCUGAUCCGAGGUCAAAGACGGUAAUGUUGCUUCGUGGACGCGGCCCGCGCACCUCGAGAAGCGCAAUGUGCUGCGCGAGAGGAGGCAAGGACCGCUGCCAAUGAAUUUGGGGCGAGUCCGCGCGCAGAGGCGGGACAGACGCCCAACACAAGCAGAGCUUGAGGGUGUAGAUGACGC
rnacentral:misc_RNA from 1 species